GAAAUGGAGGGUCGUGUCAUAAAGAUGGCCUAUGCCAGGCCGAAAAAGACGAAGAUUCCUCCCCCUUUCUUCACAACCCAAGCCAUUAACUUUCAAUUUGUAUGUGGAAAGUUUGUCGUAUGAAGCAAGGUCUAAAGAUCUCAAGGGGCUCUUUAAUUCAGAGGAUUAUAGUGUUGUUACAGCCGAAAUUGUAUUCCAAAAUAACCCGAGAAGGUCCGCAGGAUAUGGAUUUGUGGGCUUCAAAACCAAGACUGAGGCUGAGGCAGCUCUUUCUAAUCCUCACGGGAAGCUGCUUAUGGGAAGGCGAAUUUGUGUGGCGCGUAGUAAACAAUUUGUUAAAGUACCAAAAACAGAAAGUUCAGAAUUGGGUGAUAAAUCUACCGAAUUGAAUUCAAGUGUCGAGGAAGCGAACACAGUUGUCAAUGAUACAAACUGAAUUUGGCUGGCAUGGUGAAAUUUCUGCAUUAUCAUCACAUCAUAUUUGUGUAGGUAUGUCCUCUCUUUAAAUCAUGUUCCGCUUAUUUGAAACUAAUGUAGCUAGUUAUGUUGUAUGCCCUUUUAAUUAUUGUUUAACUUAAAAUUUGUUAGUUGGACAAUUAGGUCUUUGGGUGACUCGGAGCAUUAGUUGCUUUACUAGAAUAUGCAUUCGGUUCCCAAUUUCUGCUGUAACUUCUGCAUUGUUUAAACUACCUCAAAUUAGAUAUCGACUGUAAAUUGCUAAUGUUUUCAUCUGGAAGUUUAAUUACAUUGGUUGAAAGUAAAGUCCGUUAUUUUUACAUGGCCCAUUGGCCCAAUGUUGAAUGGAGGUCGUGGCAUUUAGUCUUUCUCAAUGGCGAGUUGUUAUUGGCACUCCAAACUUCCUCUAUUUAGAAAGAAAGAUACACUUGUGAGGAGUGCACAAUGAAAUUUUUGGAGUGCCAAUAACAGUUUCCUUCUCAAUGCCGUUAAGUUAUUUAAUCGACAUAUGUCUGUUUUCAUAGCAACUUAGCAUAUCUCUCUUUGGAUUCCAAACUAUAACCACACCGACUGGGAAGCUGUGAGAUGUUCUGAACUUGUGGAUAACGAUUCAGGAAAAGUGUAGUUAAGAAAUACAGGUUUCCUUGAUCUUUUAGAAGAAAUUGCUUGCUAGAGAGUGGUAGACAAACUUGCUGCAUAAGGCUGAAUGAGUUUUUGAACUUCGUACAUUUACCUAGAGAGUGGGAGUGAAUUUUUGGCAGCUAACUUCUGCACUUAGUUUUAUUCAAGCAUUUUUGUUAAGCAAAUAUUUGUGCUUUGGAAUAUCAUCUUAGUGCUUUAAAAUCCUCUCGACCUGCCUCUCGUUUGUAGGAACAUAUGUGUAUGCUCACUCGUACUUUCCCUGCAUACUCGGUGAGAUUCUCACCGUCUUUUGGGGGCGGAUAACAUUCAUUGGAUUCCGUCACUCUAGUACUUGUACAAGGUUGCUGGAAGGCUAGAGGCUGGUUAUGCACGUAGGCUACAAGUUUGGACAGAUUGAGCUAUUUGUACUAUAAAUUAAACAUUUUAGUGUCUUGAUAUGUACCUUGUCACCCAAUAGUUCAAAACUUUAGGUUAAAUGUUCAUUUUUGAGAUCUUUGUUUCUUAUAUAUGUGACAUGUAGUCUUCAUUUUAAAGAAAUCAAUGGUAAAAGCUAAUCAAGUUUCUAUUGUUUUCGUUGUUUGAAUUCACAACAUAACAAACUACAAACUUGAACCAUAUGUUGACAUUGAAAAAAGAAGUAUCAGUAGACUCACGCGGCUGACCGCCCAAAAAAACCACUAACCUGUAAAAAGAAACUUUGUAAUCUUUGCCUACAUUGUUAGUGUGAAUAAUGUUUCUUCAACUGAAAUGAAAAACACAACCGAAAAGGAACUGAAUGCUUUUGACGUUGAGAAUUUACCUAAGGAUUAGGUAUACGCAUUAUGGCAUUGGACAUUGUUCUCGUUUGUUUUGGAACAUUUUUAUUUUUUAUUUGUUAUUAUUAAGGGGAGUGGGAGGAAUCGAAUCUAUUACAAUAUUUAGAGGAGGGGGGAGUUUUGAACCUGGGACACAUGGGUGGAAACCCAACACCCUAUCCAUUAGAAUAUUGGAUCACAUGCUUGGAACUUGCCCACUUCUAGUCUAUUUCUUACAGCAUUCUGAAAGUAUAAUUGGAUGUUCCUAUACCUCAUAGAGUGGAUCUAUCUACCCAUUAUGAAUAAUGUAAUUUUACUAUACAAAUUCCAUAAUCAGAACCAUUCAAUUUCUUAUCUUUAUUUGAAGAUCAUUCCUACAAAAAACUAUUCGAAAUGGAGAUUGUUUAGUCAUUCGAUGUAUGGAACAAAUAGGUUGUAACAAUCCAACUCUACUUUUAUAAGAUUUUAUGAAGACUAAUAAAAGUUUUUAUGUGGAGGUUGAUUCAUCUGCUGAAGACACAACACAACCAUUGAAGAGAAACUACUAAAUUCUGCUUUGGCAACAUUGAUCAAUAAAGAUGAAGCCGUGUCUACACAUGCUUUUCUGGAGUUCAACAAAGGAAACGAAUCAUGUGGAAGGUUGCUAAAAAUGUGGAACUGCUUGAGCCGUUGUCUAAAAAAGUUCUACCACUAGUUGCUGAGGUAAAGACACUUGAGAAGGAUAAGGAACAUCUUGAAGAAAGUUGAGGUUCCACCUUAAAACCAAUUGGCAAUAUGGGGAGCAGCCUACCCUCUUAUAAACUCAUGCAAGGUCCAUCCUUUCAUCAACGUGGGACUCAUUCUCAACACGCUCCCUCACGUGUGGCGAAUUUUUGAGCCUACCACGUGGACAACACAACGGGGUGACGUGGAGCACAUGUAGCCAUUUGGCUUCACAUGUGGGACAACCUGUUCUGAUACUAUGAAGAAAGUUGAGGUUCCACCAUAAAACCAAUUGACAAUAUGAGGAGUAGCCCAACCUCUUAUAAGCCAAUGCAAGGUCCCUCCUCCUAUUAAUGUGAGACUCAUUCUCAACACAUCUAAGGAUCAAUCUUCGUACGGCUGAAGAAGAGGAGGUCAAAUUGCUUUUUGAAGAAAACGAAGUCCUAAUUGUGGAGAACAAAAAAUUACUGAUGCUGAACCAGAAGGAAAGAAACCAUUCUGCUUCUGGUAGAAAACACACUGACAGUGCAUCAGCGAAGUCAAAUAAGUGCAAAU